GCGCGAAAACUUUACAAUGCGGGAAACCGUGAUAAGGGAAUCUCGAGUGCCAGCAUAUAAUGUUGGCUGUCCAGAUGCCUAAAAAGCAUCUGUUAGCAAGGGCCGGGCAAGACCGGUGC
rnacentral:rRNA from 1 species